GCGGGUGUAGUUUAGUGGUAAAACCUCAGCCUUCCAAGCUGAUGAUAGGGAUUCGAUUUCCCUCACCCGCU
rnacentral:tRNA from 1 species